UGUCGUGCAGCACGGGGAGGGCACCGGGAGGGCACGGGGAGGCCGCUGGAGCCCAGUGGGGAACGCGCCGCGUGGGUGUCCCUUCGCUUUCCGUGGGUUUUCGCCUCUCGCUCUGACGCAGCUCUCGGCUGCUUUCCCUCAUCUCUACAGAGCAAGGAGUUCUGACUGUGCCAGCAUGGCAG